rnacentral:rRNA from 1 species
AGAGUUUGAUCCUGGCUCAGGACGAACGCUGGCGGCGUGCUUAACACAUGCAAGUCGAACGGAAAGGUCUCUUCGGAGAUACUCGAGUGGCGAACGGGUGAGUAACACGUGGGCGAUCUGCCCUGCACUUCGGGAUAAGCCUGGGAAACUGGGUCUAAUACCGGAUAGGACCACGGGAUUCAUGUCCUGUGGUGGAAAGCUUUUGCGGUGUGGGAUGGGCCCGCGGCCUAUCAGCUUGUUGGUGGGGUAACGGCCUACCAAGGCGACGACGGGUAGCCGGCCUGAGAGGGUGUCCGGCCACACUGGGACUGAGAUACGGCCCAGACUCCUACGGGAGGCAGCAGUGGGGAAUAUUGCACAAUGGGCGCAAGCCUGAUGCAGCGACGCCGCGUGGGGGAUGACGGCCUUCGGGUUGUAAACCUCUUUCACCAUCGACGAAGGUCCGGUUUCCCGGAUUGACGGUAGGUGGAGAAGAAGCACCGGCCAACUACGUGCCAGCAGCCGCGGUAAUACGUAGGGUGCGAGCGUUGUCCGGAAUUACUGGGCGUAAAGAGCUCGUAGGUGGUUUGUCGCGUUGUUCGUGAAAUCUCACGGCUUAACUGUGAGCGUGCGGGCGAUACGGGCAGACUAGAGUACUGCAGGGGAGACUGGAAUUCCUGGUGUAGCGGUGGAAUGCGCAGAUAUCAGGAGGAACACCGGUGGCGAAGGCGGGUCUCUGGGCAGUAACUGACGCUGAGGAGCGAAAGCGUGGGGAGCGAACAGGAUUAGAUACCCUGGUAGUCCACGCCGUAAACGGUGGGUACUAGGUGUGGGUUUCCUUCCUUGGGAUCCGUGCCGUAGCUAACGCAUUAAGUACCCCGCCUGGGGAGUACGGCCGCAAGGCUAAAACUCAAAGGAAUUGACGGGGGCCCGCACAAGCGGCGGAGCAUGUGGAUUAAUUCGAUGCAACGCGAAGAACCUUACCUGGGUUUGACAUGCACAGGACGCGUCUAGAGAUAGGCGUUCCCUUGUGGCCUGUGUGCAGGUGGUGCAUGGCUGUCGUCAGCUCGUGUCGUGAGAUGUUGGGUUAAGUCCCGCAACGAGCGCAACCCUUGUCUCAUGUUGCCAGCACGUAAUGGUGGGGACUCGUGAGAGACUGCCGGGGUCAACUCGGAGGAAGGUGGGGAUGACGUCAAGUCAUCAUGCCCCUUAUGUCCAGGGCUUCACACAUGCUACAAUGGCCGGUACAAAGGGCUGCGAUGCCGCGAGGUUAAGCGAAUCCUUUUAAAGCCGGUCUCAGUUCGGAUCGGGGUCUGCAACUCGACCCCGUGAAGUCGGAGUCGCUAGUAAUCGCAGAUCAGCAACGCUGCGGUGAAUACGUUCCCGGGCCUUGUACACACCGCCCGUCACGUCAUGAAAGUCGGUAACACCCGAAGCCAGUGGCCUAACCCUUUGGGAGGGAGCUGUCGAAGGUGGGAUCGGCGAUUGGGACGAAGUCGUAACAAGGUAGCCGUACCGGAAGGUGCGGCUGGAUCACCU